GAUGAACGCUGGCGGCGUGCCUAAUACAUGCAAGUCGAGCGAACAGACGAGGAGCUUGCUCCUCUGACGUUAGCGGCGGACGGGUGAGUAACACGUGGAUAACCUACCUAUAAGACUGGGAUAACUUCGGGAAACCGGAGCUAAUACCGGAUAAUAUAUUGAACCGCAUGGUUCAAUAGUGAAAGACGGUUUUGCUGUCACUUAUAGAUGGAUCCGCGCCGCAUUAGCUAGUUGGUAAGGUAACGGCUUACCAAGGCAACGAUGCGUAGCCGACCUGAGAGGGUGAUCGGCCAAACCGGAACUGAGACACGGUCCAGACUCCCACGGGAGGCAGCAGUAGGGAAUCUUCCGCAAUGGGCGAAAGCCUGACGGAGCAACGCCGCGUGAGUGAUGAAGGUCUUCGGAUCGUAAAACUCUGUUAUUAGGGAAGAACAAAUGUGUAAGUAACUAUGCACGUCUUGACGGUACCUAAUCAGAAAGCCACGGCUAACUACGUG
rnacentral:rRNA from 1 species